AAUGGGGGCAACCCUGAUCCGGUCAUGCCGCGUGAGUGAAGAAGGCCUUCGGGUUGUAAAGCUCUUUCGGCCGGGAAGAAAUCGCAUGGGUGAAUACCCUGUGUGGAUGACGGUACCGGAACAAGAAGCACCGGCUAACUACGUGCCAGCAGCCGCGGUAAUACGUAGGGUGCGAGCGUUAAUCGGAAUUACUGGGCGUAAAGCGUGCGCAGGCGGUGAUGUAAGACAGAUGUGAAAUCCCCGGGCUCAACCUGGGAGCUGCGUCUGUGACUGCAUCACUCGAGUACGGCAGAGGGAGGUGGAAUUCCACGUGUAGCAGUGAAAUGCGUAGAGAUGUGGAGGAACACCGAUGGCGAAGGCAGCCUCCUGGGCCAGUACUGACGCUCAUGCACGAAAGCGUGGGGAGCAAA
rnacentral:rRNA from 1 species